rnacentral:rRNA from 1 species
GAUGAACGCUGGCGGCGUGCCUAAUACAUGCAAGUCGAGCGAACGGACGAGAAGCUUGCUUCUCUGAUGUUAGCGGCGGACGGGUGAGUAACACGUGGAUAACCUACCUAUAAGACUGGGAUAACUUCGGGAAACCGGAGCUAAUACCGUAUGAUAUUUUGAACCGCAUGGUUCAAAAGUGAAAGACGGUCUUGCUGUCACUUAUAGAUGGAUCCGCGCUGCAUUAGCUAGUUGGUAAGGUAACGGCUUACCAAGGCAACGAUGCAUAGCCGACCUGAGAGGGUGAUCGGCCACACUGGAACUGAGACACGGUCCAGACUCCUACGGGAGGCAGCAGUAGGGAAUCUUACGCAAUGGGCGAAAGCCUGACGGAGCAACGCCGCGUGAGUUAUGAAGGUCUUCGGAUCGUAAAACUCUGUUAUUAGGGAAGAACAUAUGUGUAAGUAACUGUGCACAUCUUGACGGUACCUAAUCAGAAAGCCACGGCUAACUACGUG